rnacentral:rRNA from 1 species
GUCAGCAGCCGCGGUAACACCGGCGGCCCGAGUGGUGAUCGUGAUUAUUGGGUCUAAAGGGUCCGUAGCCGGUUUGGUCAGUCCUCCGGGAAAUCUGAUAGCUCAACUAUUAGGCUUUCGGGGGAUACUGCCAGACUUGGAACCGGGAGAGGUAAGAGGUACUACAGGGGUAGGAGUGAAAUCUUGUAAUCCCUGUGGGACCACCUGUGGCGAAGGCGUCUUACCAGAACGGGUUCGACGGUGAGGGACGAAAGCUGGGGGCACGAACCGGAUUAGAUACCCGGGUAGUCCCAGCCGUAAACGAUGCUCGCUAGGUGUCCAGGCAUGGCGCGACCGUGUCUGGUGCCGCAGGGAAGCCGUGAAGCGAGCCACCUGGGAAGUACGGCCGCAAGGCUGAAACUUAAAGGAAUUGGCGGGGGAGCACAACAACGGGUGGAAGCCUGCGGUUUAAUUGGACUCAACGCCGGACAACUCACCGGGGGCGACAGCAAUAUGUAGGCCAAGCUGAAGACUUUGCCUGAAUCGCUGAGGAGUGGUGCAUGG